CCUAGAGGAGGCAGCCAGACUCCUCAGGCCCCUCUGGCAGCGUCCCUGUGCGGCCAGGUGGUGUGUGUGCCCCACCCCACAGGCCCCUGGGCCUGAGGCCACGUGGCUGGACUGGAACAGGCGCCGUGGCUGUGCCAGCACAACGGGGAGGUGACCAGGCGUCUGUGCAGAAGCGUGGGAGCCCCCAACACGGUGCUGCCUGUCCCCCAGGCCCCGUGCAACCCGCUCCCUUUGUGUCUGCCAAGCUAUCAUGCUGGGCUCGGCUGAGGCUGCAGCCAGAACUUGAUGUUGAAAAGGACCUGGGACUUCGGUGUUUGGUCUCCAUCCUGCUCCCACAACUCAGCGAAGACAAGGAGACAGCUGAGCUUCCCCAGGACACCCCCACCCGUCUCCUGGAGUGUCCAGUCCUUUGUCAUGGAGAUGGUGAAGCUCGUGGAGCUGAUGUGGAUGUGGGCGGCUUCCCCAGCCUCCAGAGGCACCCGUGGACUCCUGGUGCCAGCCUGGUUUGACAUCAGAGCCGUCGCCAGGUGAGCCCCACGGGGGCCCAGGGUGGUGGCAGGAGAGGCAGUCCUGUGGGAUUAGACAACAAGAACUGCACAAACAUCUCAAUAUAGAGAGAAAAACAUAUAAAAUUCAAAACUUA